rnacentral:rRNA from 1 species
GACGAACGCUGGCGGCGUGCUUAACACAUGCAAGUCGAACGGAAAGGCCCUGCUUUUGUGGGGUGCUCGAGUGGCGAACGGGUGAGUAACACGUGAGUAACCUGCCCUUGACUUUGGGAUAACUUCAGGAAACUGGGGCUAUUACCGGAUAGGAGCUCCUGCUGCUUGGUGGGGGUUGGAAAGUUUCGGCGGUUGGGGAUGGACUCGCGGCUUAUCAGCUUGUUGGUUGGGUAGUGGCUUACCAAGGCUUUGACGGGUAGCCGGGCUGAGAGGGUGACCGGCCACAUUGGGACUGAGAUACGGCACAGACUCCUACGGGAGGCAGCAGUGGGGAAUAGUGCACAAUGGGCGGAAGCCUGAUGCAGCAACGCCGCGUGCGGGAUGACGGCCUUCGGGUUGUAAACCGAUUUCGCCUGUGACGAAGCGUGAGUGACGGUAAUGGGUAAAGAAGCACCGGCUAACUACGUG